rnacentral:lncRNA from 10 species
AGGCCCCGCCCCCGCCGUACCUCCGGCAUGGGCGAAUCGGCCGGCAGGCGAUGGGACCCCCGGGAUUCGAGCCGCGCGGGUUAGGAAUUGGCCUCUGUAGCUAACGGACGCCUGAGAUCCGGGACUGCAGCACUCGCGGGAAAGGACGCUCCGAAAGAUGGCGACCAAACCUGGGCGGGAGCGUGGGGGAGCCCCUUCCCACCCCGGCCCGGGCCGCGGACAUCCGUGCGGAGGAGCGACGUCUGCGCACGUUGUGGGGCGGUGGACGCGCACAGGCGAGGGUGGGUGGGUGGGUGCUGAGCGGUUGUGGGAUGAGGGGUCUCUCAGUAGCGGUUGAGAGCCCAUCCUCUGACCACUGCUUUUUCAUGUAAAAGUCAGAAUCGUUCAAUCAGUCAUUAACUGGUUUAAGGCUGGCUAAACCACCUGGUUUGAAAUGCGUGAAAAUUACACAUGUACUAGACUUCUGUGAUUCCUUUGGGUGUGUAUUUUACAUAUCUCAGAAAUCAGAAACAUGAGUGCCCUAUCUAGCAGCCAGCAGUCCACCAAAAUGCCUACAAAACUUUAUCGUAAGUUCAAAAGGAUAGCGUAAUGCCACUGAAGUAAGCUCUCGAACCUGUAAGUAAUGUAUGGUCUUCCCCAUUCUAGGUUGAUGGCGAGGAUUUCUAGUUACUCAGGCCAAAAACUUUAUAUCAUCCAUAACUCCUCUCAUACUCUCAUUUUCACUUUCAAUCUGUCAAGAAAGCUUGUUGGUUGUACCUUCAAAAUAGAACAGAGUGGGCAACAUAGCGAGACCCUGUCUCUACAAAAAAAAAAAAAAAAAAUUACCCUGGUGUGUUGGCGUGUACCUAUAGUUCCAGGUACUCUGGAGGCUGAGGCCAGGAGUUACGUUACAGUGAGCCAUCAUCAGGCCACUGCACUCCAGCUUGGGCUGGACAGAGUGACACGUGUUCCAAAAAAAAAAAAAAUUCUCCAUCUUUCCUACCUUACUAUUUUUCCUUUCAUCCCAUGACACUUCCCACCUUGUAACAAUCUUUAUAAUUCAGAGUCAGCCCUCCGCAUCCAUGGCUUCUGCGUUUCUGGAUUCAACCAACCACAGAUGGAAAAUAUUUGGGAAAAAAAACACAACAAUUUAAAAAUACAAAUAAAAACCAAUACAAUAUAACAGCUAUUUACAUAGCACUUACAUUGUAUUAUAAGUAAUCUAUAGAUAAUUUAUACAGGAGGAUAUAUGUGGGUUAUGUGCAAAUACUAUAUCAUUUUAUAUUAGAGACCUGAGAGGAUUUUGGUACUGGUCGUGGUCCUAGAGCCAAUCCCCCUCGGAUACUGAGGUAUGCCUGUAUUUAUCUGAUAUGUUUAGCUUUUAGUGUCUGCCUUCCCUAGUAGAAGCUGGGAUUUUUGUCUGUUUUGUUCAACUGAUGUAUCCCAAGUCCCUAGAAUAAAUGAAAAAUUUAAAAAUUCCCUGAGAUUAAAAAAAACUAAAGCAACAAAAAAUGACCAAUUUUUUUUAUUUUAAAUUUUCUCUUGGUUUCUGUUUCAGUUAACCAUAAGAUCUUUAUCUACAUCAUACCAUAAGCAUUUUGAUUUUCCAGUUACUGGUCUCACUUUGUCACCCAGGCUGGAGUGCAGUGGCCUAAUCUGUGCUAUCUCGGCUCUCUGCAACCUCUGUCUUCCGGGCUCAAGUGAUCCUCCCACCUCAGCCUCCCAAGGAGCUAGGACUACAAACGCACACUACUACACCUAGCUAAUUUUUGUGUUUUUGGUAGACAGGGUCUCACUAUGUUGCCCAGGCUGGUCUGAAACUCCCAGGCUCACACAAUCCGCCCUCCUCGCCUCACAAAGUGCUGGGAUUACAGGUGUAAGCCACGGUGUCUGGUCUGGAUGAUACUUUUUGUAGAGUAUGUGUGCAUAAUUAUUUGCUCAAUGUUAUAUUCAUAGCAGUCUCUUUACACAUUUAAUUUAUCCUUUAUGAUUUAAAACAAUUUAAAGCUACAGAUUACAUGUUACAAUUUGAUUUUUUAUAAAAUUAAAUAGACUUUUGUUUAUAAAAAAAUUGACAAUGUGUUUCAUCAAUGUUAAUCUGUAGUUUGUAAUUACAAUAAUACCAAAUAAAAUUUUUCUAGAGUCAUUAUGAUGUAUCUGUGCACUGUCCUUAAAAUUGUUACCAAGUAAAAUCUUAUUCCAAAAGAAGGACAAGGGUAAAAAAUAGACACUCUUCAUAAUUUAUUCACAUAAUAUACAGUGAAAAUACCGAUAAAAGUAAAUGCAACUAUUAUAGUCCAGAAGAAACUGUUUUGCAUUCCUAUUAGUCCAUAACAAGUGGAAACAUUACACCAAAAACAACAGGAAGGAACAUGUUGUUCUAACCAACUGCUAAAUAGCCUUGAGCUCAUAUAACAGCCACAUUGGCCUGAUUCUGCAAUCUUUUACUUAAAUAAAUUUUCCUUAAAAUUUUUAAAGCAAAUGGAUUUUCCCUAAAAGUAUACUAUUAAUUUUUGUUUUUGUUUUGUUUUUGAGAUGGAGUCUUGCUCUUGUUUUCCAGGCUGGAGUGCAAUAGCACUAUCUUGGCUCACUGCAACCUCUGCCUCCCAGGUUCAAAUGAUUCUCCUGCCUCAGCUUCCCAAGUAGGUGGGAUUACAGGCACCUGCCACCACGCCCGGCUAAUUUUUCUAUUUUUAGUUGACACAGGGUUUUGCCAUGUUGGCCAGGCUGGUCUCGAACUCCUGACCUCAGGGGAUCCGCCUGCCUCGGCCUCCCAAAGUACUGAGAUUACAGGUGUGAGCCACUGCACUCGGCCUAUUAAUUUUUUUUUUUUUUUUUUUUUGAGAGAGCGUCUCGCUCUGUCACACAGGCUGGAGUGCAGUGGUGCAAUCUUGGCUCACUGCAAUCUUCCUCUCCUGAGUUCAAGUGAUUCUCUCCUCCUUCAGCCUCCUGAGUAGCUGGGAUUACAGGCGCCCACCACCACGCCUGGCUAAUUUUUGUAUUUUUAGUAGAGACAGGGUUUCACCAUGUCGGCCAGGCUGGUCUUGAACUCCUGACCUCAGGUGAUCCGCCCGCCCCAGCCUCCCAAAGCGCUGGGAUUACAGGCGGGAGCCACCGUGCCCAGCCACUAUUAAUGUUUUUUAAAUCCUCUUUUCCAAAAUUUUAUAGCAGUUCUUUCUAACAUUUAGGAGACAUGGUGUACGGAGUCAGAGUCUGGAGUUCAAAUCCAAAUUCUGCUGCAUAAUUAGUUAGGUGACUCUAAACAAAGUUUUUUCUAAACCUAUCUUUUCUUCUAGUUUAAUAAGACCAAUAAUAUUACCUACCUGUGAGGUCUGUUGUGAGAAAUAUAUAAGAGAACUCAAGUAAAAUCGUUAGCCUUAGCCUUGGAACAGGCUGUGCUGGUAAAAGCUAGUUAUUAUCAUUACACAAGCAUAUAAUUAAGCUCAUUGUUCUACAUUUGUAAUACUGAGAAAAUGGCUCAUAAAAGGCCCCAAAUGGGAUGGUAUGAGUUCUACAUCAAUAUAGUAUAAUGUUUAAAUAAAUGAACAUUUUUAAAGGGGCACUAACAUUUCUUCUGCCACCACAACGUGCCAGACACAAUUCCAGGCAACAAAGGAAGCUAAGAGAAAUAAGGCUCAAACUUAACACAGCUUUACAGUUGAAUGACAAGAGACACAUUUAAUAGAUAACUACAUUCAAAGUAGUAUGACCAUAUUUCCUGAUUUAUCAGGAAUCUCUUGUCCUGGCUUAAGAGUUAUUUGUGUCUUCUUUCAUUCUCAGUUGUGUCUAGGUCUGCUGAUAAAUUAGAUGAUCAUUCCUAACUAGAUGUAUGUACUAACUGCUUGGGAUACAAGAGAAGAAACCACCAGUUCUGUGUAAAGCUAUAGAGACUUAAAUUGCUUCUUUAUAGGAACAUCUGAAUGAGUCAAGUGAAUCAAAAGAAAGAGGAAAGGCAGAGGGAAGAUUUAAUUGUUAUUUUUCUGAGUCAGAACUACAAAGCUUUCUAUACUUGUGCUGUGAACAUUAACUAAUAGCAAACUUAGUAAAUCCACUUGACCAAUGUUAUAUAAAUUACUUUUGGAAUUUAGUAUUUUUUUCCUAAAGAUAUAACAGGCAUACUCCAAGAAACAAAUUAUUCAACAUGUAUUUGUUUAUGUAUACAACAUACAGUAUAUCUAUUGAGUGUAUAUUAUGUAUACAUGGUCUGUUUUUAGUGUGAUAGAAGAUACCAAAAAAAUUAUAAGGUACAGGCAAGCAUCAUAAAAUCUAAUGGCAAACCCC